CGAACCCGCGCGGGAGAGACCGGACCGGCAUCCCCGGUCCGGCGCCGAAGGAGCAAGUCCUCCCCGGAACCUCUCAGGCACCCUGGACCGCGCGGACGAG
rnacentral:ncRNA from 2 species